rnacentral:rRNA from 1 species
UACGGAGGGUGCAAGCGUUGUUCGGAAUCACUGGGCGUAAAGCGCGUGUAGGCGGCCUCCUCAGUCUGAUGUGAAAGCCCGGGGCUCACCCCCGGAAGUGCAUUGGAUACUGGGAGGCUGGAGUACCGGAGAGGAGGGUGGAAUUCCUGGUGUAGCGGUGAAAUGCGUAGAUAUCAGGAGGAACACCGGUGGCGAAGGCGGCCCUCUGGACGGAUACUGACGCUGAGACGCGACAGCGUGGGGAGCAAACAGG